rnacentral:rRNA from 1 species
UCACGCUAUCAGAUGAGCCUAGGUCGGAUUAGCUAGUUGGUGGGGUAAAGGCCUACCAAGGCGACGAUCCGUAACUGGUCUGAGAGGAUGAUCAGUCACACUGGAACUGAGACACGGUCCAGACUCCUACGGGAGGCAGCAGUGGGGAAUAUUGGACAAUGGGCGAAAGCCUGAUCCAGCCAUGCCGCGUGUGUGAAGGAGGUCUUCGGAUUGUAAAGCACUUUAAGUUGGGAGGAAGGGCAGUAAGUUAAUACCUUGCUGUUUUGACGUUACCAACAGAAUAAGCACCGGCUAACUUCGUGCCAGCAGCCGCGGUAAUACGAAGGGUGCAAGCGUUAAUCGGAAUUACUGGGCGUAAAGCGCGCGUAGGUGGUUCAGCAAGUUGGAUGUGAAAUCCCCGGGCUCAACCUGGGAACUGCAUCCAAAACUACUGAGCUAGAGUACGGUAG